rnacentral:misc_RNA from 1 species
AUAUCAUAUCCCCGAUUACAAAUCUUGAUUCUUAUAUAACUACAAGACUCUGUUACUUGGAACUAGCAACUAUUAGCAACCCUAACAGAAACUAAUUCUCUUUCUUGCUACCUUUACAUGUCACAAGAAGUUAGGUCUCUUUUAUGCAUAGGGAUUAGGGGGACGAUUGAUGCAGACAAGGGUGCACUGCACUGCGCAAUUUUGUAAUGGUAGAUAGAGCACUUCUCAAUGCAACACAAAUUUCACAGAAAAUUAAUUAGCAUUACAAGAAACCAGACAAGGGCUUGUAGAAUAUUUAUACACAGCAAAAUUAUGGAAAAAAAAAAACCCAUAAAAUAUCUUAGUAAGUCUCUCUCUCUCUCUCUUUCCCUGCCACUAAUGAAUUAAGACUCAUUGAGCUUCAAAUCUGAUUCCUUCUUUCAUCUUUCUUAUAAAAUCUUCACAUUUCUUGUUUAACUCUUCUGCACUCAACAAUCCAGCUUCUUCUUCUUGUUCAUCUUCCUCAAUUUGAUCAUCAGCUAUGUCUUGUGUGAUCAAGUGAACAUUUCUUACUACAGUCAAAGACUUCUGUUGCAUUUCUUGCACUUCUUUAACUUCCAUGGCGACAUAUUUUUCCUCUGCAACCUCUGUUUUCAACUCUGACAAUUCAAUUGAUUUCUUGGGGCUCCCUCCAAUCUUUAUGCUGCUCUCAUCAAUAACAUGAUUAGUUUCUUGAGGUUGAGAAUUGGUCAUGAGACCUGAAAUCUUGACAAUUAAAACAAGAAUCCCAUUGCAAAGAAGGAACAUGUAGUUCUUGCCCAUCUUGCAGCUAAGCAAUUGCAUUAACUUGAAUAUGAAAGGAAAUAGUGAAGAACAAAGCAGUAUCACAGAGAACAAAUACAAUAGGUGGUGGGUAUUGCUGAAUUUGCUCAAAUUAGCUUGGUGGUUUUGGUGCUUGACUGGUUCCAUUUUCUUUCAAGAGGAGCUGGUGGGUAAAAGGAACAAAGGCAAUUCUUUCAAGAGGAGCUGGUUGGUUUAG